rnacentral:rRNA from 1 species
AUUGAACGCUGGCGGCAUGCCUAACACAUGCAAGUCGAACGGUAACAGGUCUUCGGAUGCUGACGAGUGGCGAACGGGUGCGUAAUACAUCGGAACGUGCCCAGACGCGGGGGAUAACGAGGCGAAAGCUUUGCUAAUACCUCAUACGAGCUAAGGAUGAAAGCAGGGGACUGCAAUGCCUUGUGCGUUUGGAGCGGCCGCUGGCAGAUUAGGUAGCUGGUGGGUUAAAAGCUUACCAAGCCGACGAUCUGUAGCUGGUCUGAGAGGACGACCAGCCACACUGGGACUGAGACACGGCCCAGACUCCUACGGGAGGCAGCAGUGGGGAAUUUUGGACAAUGGGCGAAAGCCUGAUCCAGCAAUGCCGCGUGCAGGAUGAAGGCCUUCGGGUUGUAAAAUGCUUUUGUACGGAACGAAAAGGCUCUGGCUAAUACCUGGGGCACAUGACGGUACCGUAAGAAUAAGCACCGGCUAACUACGUG